AAUGAACGCUGGCGGCAUGCCUAACACAUGCAAGUCGAACGAAGGCUUCGGCCUUAGUGGCGCACGGGUGCGUAACGCGUGGGAAUCUGCCCUCAGGUUCGGAAUAACAGCGAGAAGUUGCUGCUAAUACCGGAUGAUAUCGCGAGAUCAAAGAUUUAUCGCCUGAGGAUGAGCCCGCGUAGGAUUAGCUAGUUGGUGUGGUAAAGGCGCACCAAGGCGACGAUCCUUAGCUGGUCUGAGAGGAUGAUCAGCCACACUGGGACUGGGACACGGCCCAGACUCCUACGGGAGGCAGCAGUGGGGAAUAUUGGACAAUGGGCGAAAGCCUGAUCCAGCAAUGCCGCGUGAGUGAUGAAGGCCUUUGGGUUGUAAAGCUCUUUUACCCGGGAUGAUAAUGACAGUACCGGGAGAAUAAGCUCCGGCUAACUCCGUGCCAGCAGCCGCCGUAA
rnacentral:rRNA from 1 species